rnacentral:rRNA from 1 species
CCUACGGGAGGCAGCAGUGAGGAAUAUUGGUCAAUGGACGAGAGUCUGAACCAGCCAAGUAGCGUGAAGGAUGACUGCCCUAUGGGUUGUAAACUUCUUUUAUAUGGGAAUAAAACGUUCCACGUGUGGGAUUUUGUAUGUACCAUAUGAAUAAGGAUCGGCUAACUCCGUGCCAGCAGCCGCGGUAAUACGGAGGAUCCGAGCGUUAUCCGGAUUUAUUGGGUUUAAAGGGAGCGUAGGUGGAUUGUUAAGUCAGUUGUGAAAGUUUGCGGCUCAACCGUAGAAUUGCAGUUGAAACUGGCAGUCUUGAGUACAGUAGAGGUGGGCGGAAUUCGUGGUGUAGCGGUGAAAUGCUUAGAUAUCUCGAAGAACUCCGAUUGCGAAGGCAGUUCACUGGACUGCAACUGACACUGAGGCUCGAAAGUGUGGGUAUCAAACAGGAUUAGAUACCCCGGUAGUC